ensembl:lncRNA
AAUGGUAAGUUAUAUGUGAACAUUAAAUAAUCUUAUUUUUUGCAGUAUCUUUCUUUGUUUUUCCAUAGGCUAUAUAACGAACCCAAAAGCACUUUUAAGAGCUUAUCUAUCUUUCAUCUAUCUAUCUAUCUAUCUAUCUAUCUACACUAUCUGAUGAGCUCCUUGAAAACUUACAAGCUCGAGAGGUAAAAUAAAGUCAUCAUACAGUACAUACAUUGAGUUCAAUAUAUUUUCCUGUUGGUUUAAUAUUAUUAAGUCACAAUCAAUAUUAAUUUUGCCAUUACUGUUAAUGUAUCGGUCAGUAGUAAGCAGUUUUUACCCUAACAAGACAUUAAGUUAUAUUUCUUGAAUUACUGGCUGGUCAUUUUUAUGCACUUAGGGAAGACUGGGCAAGAGCAAUGUGCAUCCUCUACCCUCACCCCCUACUGUUCAGUGGAGAAAGAGGGACAGCCAAGGGGAAAUACUUUACAAAUAUCCAAGAGCCAAAAGGGCAGCAACUGUAGAAAGCGAGUAUAAUGUACUUACUAAUGUACUUACUGUAAACGCAAAUCUCUCUCUCUCCCACUCUCUCUCUCUCUCUCUCUCUCUCUCUCUAUAUAUAUAUAUAUAUAUAUACAGUAUAUGUUUGCUAUGCAGUAUUUAAAAUGAUGUCAAAUUGUGCUUCUGUUUUGUAAAUAGGACUAAAAAGAGACCACACCAAUAUUUCAGGUAAUGUUUACAUAAAAAUUAUGUUGUGUAUAUGUGUAUUUCUUUUGUGUUUAUUUCCUUCUUACAUUUGUUCUGGCAGGUCCAUUUGUUAUGGAAGAUGACUUGAAUGGUGGCCCUGCAAAUGCCUCUGAAACAGCUGAUACUAUUCUUGAAGAGCUAAAGAGGCUGUUGGACACUAAGGAAGAUGAUGCAAAUGUUGUCCCAAUUCAAGAUCAUCAACCUCGGUCUAUAUCUAAUGACUGGGCCAUUAGAACUGAAAUGAGGGCGGAGAGAUGGAAAGAAGCUAGAUCUUCUCUUGUGGAGAACAUUUUGAAAGGAGAAGAUGCCAGUUCCUCAUCCUGCCAACAGUGCAGAUCAAAUGCGGCUGUUGUGCGCUGUAGGGACUGCCUCCCUUACCCUUUCCUCUGUGCAGAAUGA